rnacentral:rRNA from 1 species
UAGAGUUUGAUCAUGGCUCAGAUUGAACGCUGGCGGCAGGCUUAACACAUGCAAGUCGAACGAUGACUAACUAGCUUGCUAGUUAUGAUUAGUGGCGGACGGGUGAGUAACAUUUAGGAAUCUGCCUAGUAGUGGGGGAUAGCUCGGGGAAACUCGAAUUAAUACCGCAUACGACCUACGGGUGAAAGGGGGCGCAAGCUCUUGCUAUUAGAUGAGCCUAAAUCAGAUUAGCUAGUUGGUGGGGUAAAGGCCCACCAAGGCGACGAUCUGUAACUGGUCUGAGAGGAUGAUCAGUCACACCGGAACUGAGACACGGUCCGGACUCCUACGGGAGGCAGCAGUGGGGAAUAUUGGACAAUGGGGGCAACCCUGAUCCAGCCAUGCCGCGUGUGUGAAGAAGGCCUUUUGGUUGUAAAGCACUUUAAGCAGGGAGGAGAGGCUAAUGGUUAAUACCCAUUAGAUUAGACGUUACCUGCAGAAUAAGCACCGGCUAACUCUGUGCCAGCAGCCGCGGUAAUACAGAGGGUGCGAGCGUUAAUCGGAAUUACUGGGCGUAAAGCGAGUGUAGGUGGCUCAUUAAGUCACAUGUGAAAUCCCCGGGCUUAACCUGGGAACUGCAUGUGAUACUGGUGGUGCUAGAAUAUGUGAGAGGGAAGUAGAAUUCCAGGUGUAGCGGUGAAAUGCGUAGAGAUCUGGAGGAAUACCGAUGGCGAAGGCAGCUUCCUGGCAUAAUAUUGACACUGAGAUUCGAAAGCGUGGGUAGCAAACAGGAUUGGAUACCCUGGUAGUCCACGCCGUAAAACGAUGUCUACUAGCCGUUGGGGUCCUUGAGACUUUAGUGGCGCAGUUAACGCGAUAAGUAGACCGCCUGGGGAGUACAGCCGCAAGGUUAAAACUCAAAUGAAUUGACGGGGGCC